GUGUGGCCGGUGGCGGGCGGGCCGUUACCUCCCGCGCAUGCUCUAUGGGGUAGAGACGCUAGGCCGGCACUGCCUAGGUGGGCCGGGCGGUGCGAGGGUCGCCUUUCAGCCUUUACCUCUACCCACUGAAAUGGAGUAGGUCGGUGAGCGCCGAUCUGCUGGAGAAUCUCAUUAUCCCAUCGGCGCUCUGCCUGCUCCUGGCCUCCAAGCCUCUGAAGCCCCUCGGGUUUCAGCUGCCGGCUACCCUCGAGCCCGUGGUGCCCACGAGAGAGGCGACUUUACGUCAGCGGCCCUGGGCUGAGAUUUGAGAACGCGACCAAGUGGAGAAUGUUGGAGCCAGAUUUUAAAAUCCUUGUCUUCCUUCUGCGUGCUACUUGAUCUAAAUGAGAUACGGCAAAGUCACAGAACCUGUUUUUAUGUUUUUGCCUGAUUCAUACGGGCUUCUCCGGUGAAGAUGGGCCUGAAGUAACGCUUGGGUUGCUUCUGACGUUAUAACUCAUCCUGUAGCUGCAGCAACCGUGGUCCUUGCAACCUCAUAAAAAUGUUGCCAGCAUUGUUUCGAUAGUGCUGCUUAAUUCUUGGAAGGUUCUUCGGACUUCACACAUUCCAGCAGUAGCUCUCUCAGCUCCUGUCCUGCACAGCUUUGAAGUGCUGGCUGGAGUGCAGUGGUGCCAUCUCGGCUCACUGCAGCCUCAACCUCCUGGGCUCAAGCGAUCCUCCUGCCACACCCUCCUGAGUAGCUGGGAUUACAGGUGAUGUCAUUGAACUCUUAAGUGCAAGAUGAAACAAGUCUUUCUGGGGUUCUAAGUAGGACACAGCCCUGGUGAUGGCUUUCUGAGGAUGACACGAUGGAGGCUUCUCCAAUAGCUCUAAAACUGCGGUGUGGAAAACAUUCGGCAGCCUCAAAGAGCGGUCUUGUUGACCCCAACUAUAUCAUUUUUCAUCAAAAUCAUUCUUGUAAAGAAUGACCAGGCAACACUCUUUGAAAAUUGGAGGCCAUUUGCAGCUGCUCUCUGUUGAGGAAAGUGAAUAAUAGGGUGCCCUCAAGGAAUUGCAAAGGUAUCACUCAACAGAAACUUUCGUGUCUGAAGAAAACUAGAUCAUUUUAUCAUGGUAGGCAUGCUGAUAUGUUUGCUUUAAUAAAAUGCCAUAUUUCUGCCUUUAAUCUCUUGUCAACCCGCUAUUAAAAAGCCCCAAAGUGCAUGUGUGCAGCGCAUGUAAACACUUGUGGUUUUGAGGUUACCACAGAACAUACUAAUAAAGCAUGUAAUUUGUGUUUUGUGCAC
rnacentral:lncRNA from 1 species